rnacentral:lncRNA from 1 species
AGGUCGUUGCCUAUUUGUCUAUUGGCUAUGAUCUUUCCACGAUCAACAUUUGGUAAAAGGGUGGCUCAAAAUGGUCAGAGAGGUGUAUGUGCAUGUAAGCUCACGAUUGGUUGGAAUGGUCUGUGCUUUGCUAAUGGUUAUCACUUUCUGUGAAGAAAUUCUUAGCCAUUGAAAGAUUCAUUUUGGUUAUGAUGAUGACCAGAUUUGAUGCAUGGAUUGGGGCGGUGAGGAUAAUCAAAAGACUUUGUACACUGGCGAUACUUUCAACGAGUAGAUUUAUGAGAUCUAGAAAAGCAGAAUCUUUUCUCUCUCAAAAAA